CUGUCAGCGGAAACUGAAAUGAGGAGCUGGGGUUUGUACAGAAAUGUUCCGAAGCUGUUCAUAGGGCCGUCUACCAGCCCCUUCAUUGUGCGGCUGCACAGCAGAAAGCAGAGCAGAGCUCCGAGAAUCAGCUGCGUAACUUGCAUGUGAGCUCCAGCCCCGCUUGUCGGAGUGCCUGCCGGGGUGGUGAGGGCGAGGGAAGCCGGAGGCAUGGCUCCAUGCUGCCGGGGACCGCGAGCAUGGAAGGAGGCCGCAGGGCUGGGGAGCUGGCCUGCAGCCCCUCUGUGGGGCGAGGGCACGGCCAUUCCUGCCUACGGCAGGCCCUUGCUUGUGUGUAAGAAGCUUCAACAGUCAUCGAAGGCGGGUCUGGUCUGCCAAAACGGGGAAAUGAGAAGAAAUUCAGAGGCAUGUGACAUCCCUAAGGAGUUCUUGGAAAUCCAGAUGGAAAUUCUUAAUGCAUGGAGUUGGCAGUGUGUCUGGUUGCAAGUUUACAGCACUUGUAUAAUUUUCACAGGUGAUUUGUGCUUUGUGUUUUCCCACAGUAAAGGAUCUGGAGUGAAAGGGUGUGACUUUUUCCUUGUCUCUGAUGCCAUGUGCCAGUAGCAGCUC